GCCCGCGGCGCCUGCCUGCGUGGGGAGCGGGGCCGCGGCCUGCGCGGGGGCAGCGCUUGCCUUGCUGCUUCUUCCACGUUUAACUUCAGCGGCUGAUUAACCUUCGGAAGGAAGAAACCCACCUCGGCCUCGUCAUCAGCCCCGCUCUCCCGACAGCCCCGAGCAGAGCACGGUUUAACUUCGCCCUCCUUCCAGGACACCAGAGGGAAGGGAAGGAAGCAGAGCAGCGCAUCAGGCCGCUGCCAAACUUUCCGUUGCCAGUCACCUUUAAAACUGGCCUCGACGUUUUUUCCCGCUUAACAAAACAGGAAGUAUCGAACUGGAUCACGAGGGGUCCUAUGGCCUGCUCUCCUGAUGUUCAGUGCCCUUCACCAGGUGCUUCUGAGGACAAGAAACUCUUUGGUGAGGUGUCUCAAAGAGACAGGCACAGUACCCUGCUUAAAGAGCUCUGCAGAGACAGUUUAAACGGGACUACUGUUUCAAGCCGUCAGCUGCUGCAGGAAGCUAAGCCAUAUUUUUAAUGAUUUUGCAGCUGUCAGAAUUAUGAAGGCAAAACCAUGACUUUCCAAGAGACCAUAGGCCACAUUUCUGCAAAAAAGGGUAGAUUAGGGAUGACUCAGUAGCACAGAAUCUCUGGAGUCUUGAUUUCAGUCUCCGAGGGAUGGGUUUCUGUCUUAGUGACUAUAUUUAAAUUUGAGGAAGGCUAGUGGAUAACAACAAAUUUAUGAGAGAAUCGUUGAGAGAAUACUUCUGGUGCUGAAGACACACCGUCAGCUCCAUUGCCAACUUAAUGUGGUCAUAUCAAGCUAAGCCAAGGGUCCUGACCUGACUUCUGCUGGAUACGUGUGUGUCUAACCCUUCUCCUUUCCGAGAAGAAGCCAGCUCAGAAUGAGGAUGUGUAUCUGAAGGGAGAACAUGCUUUACCGCAGCCCCCUCCCCAAAAGAGGAAAACACUCUUAAGUAAUCCAGUGAGACCAGCAGUGGGUUGUGCUUGCUGUUUUUGGUAAUCAACGCCUUGGAGAGGUGCACUUGCCUCUCAGCCUUUUCUCAAAGCCAACAAGCAAGAGAUGGUGAUGGAUACCAGUUGCUUUUGACCUGCUUUUGGAAA
rnacentral:lncRNA from 1 species